UACGGAGGGUGCAAGCGUUAUCCGGAUUCACUGGGUUUAAAGGGUGCGUAGGAGGGCAGGUAAGUCAGUGGUGAAAUCUCCGAGCUUAACUUGGAAACUGCCGUUGAUACUAUCUGUCUUGAAUAUUGUGGAGGUGAGCGGAAUAUGUCAUGUAGCGGUGAAAUGCUUAGAUAUGACAUAGAACACCAAUUGCGAAGGCAGCUCGCUACACAUAUAUUGACUCUGAGGCACGAAAGCUAGGGGAGCAAACGGG
rnacentral:rRNA from 1 species